CUGUUACAGUGCAGGUUUGGUAAGCACCCACAGUAUGCAACUCCCCUGUCAUAGUGCAGGUGUGGUAAGCGCCUACAGUAUACAACACCCCUGACUGUGACAGUACAGGUUUGGUAAGCGCCUACAGUAUACAACACCCCCAUACUGUCACAGUGCAGGUUUGGUAAGCGCCUACAGUAUACAACACCCCCAUACUGUCACAGUGCAGGUUUGGUAAGCGCCUACAGUAUACAACACCCCCAUACUGUCACAGUGCAGGUUUGGUAACCACCUAUAGUAUACAACACCCCCAUACUGUCACAGUGCAGGUUUGGUAACUGCCUACAGUAUACAACACCCCCAUACUGUCACAGUGCAGGUUUGGUAAGCACCUACAGUAUACAACACUCCCUUACUGUCACAGUGCAGGUUUGGUAAGCGCCUACAGUAUACAACACCCCCAUACUGUCACAGUGCAGGUUUGGUAAGCACCUACAGUAUACAACUCCCCUGUCACUGUGCAGAUGUGGUAAGAACCCACUGUAUACAACUCCCUCAUAUUGUCACAUUGCAGAUUUGCUAAGUGCCUACAGGUGUAGCAAUUGGUAAAAUAAAUGCCACUUAGUCUUUAGCUAGGUACUAGCUAGUCUAGAGUCAGAGAUCAAAUAGAGAUAGUACAAUGUGUGAACUGCUUUAUAUUAUUCCUAAAAAAUUUAUUCUUUAAGGAGAGGAGGAGCCAAGUGUAGACAGUCAUAGAAUGGCAAAGGCCAGCAGGUCCUCGUGUAGAACAUUGAUCUUAGCAGUCCAAACUUGUAAACGGCUAAGAAGGAAACAAAGACCUUCCUUCUACAUUUAUUUUAGAUAGAAUAUUGUGCUAUUUAUGUGAUGAGAUUCUGUACACCAGUUACAGUGAAGGAAUGAAAUUUUCAUCUAUCACUUGGAUAAGCCCCACCAAUAUGAUGAGUUGAAUAAGUAGUACAUGAUACCAUUUAUAUAAUGUUUAAAAGCAAUUUUAUUUAAAUGUGCAUAUAUGUAAUAAAAAUAAAAAGCCAUGGGAAGGAAGGGGACACAUCAAUUUCAGGAUACUGAUAACACCCCUCAGCAGGAGGAGAAGGCAAUAAGAUGGGAAAAGGGUGCUCUCUCUCUUUAAUGUGUUUUUCUUGAAUCAGUUCUCCAAACCAGUGUGGCCAAAAGUUAACUUUUACUAAUUCUAGAUAUUAGGUACCUGUGUGUUCAUUAGUUUAUUCUCUGUACUUUUCUGUUUGAAACAGU